UUUUUUUACCUUGACUUGUUGACCUGUUAUUUGAACUUGAAACAGUCCUCCUUGAGAAGAAUCGAGUGGUGAGGCAAAACCCUGGAGAAAGAAACUAUCACAUCUUUUAUGCCCUUUUGGCUGGUGUAUCUGAAGAGCAAAAAAAUGAGCUGCUUCUCAAUGCCCCAGAAAAGUAUCACUACCUUAAACAAAGUGGUUGCUAUGGUGAUCCAUCGAUCAAUGAUGUAGAGGAUUUCAACAAUGUUUUG